AAACAGAGGUCAAAGCAAUCCAACUGCUGCAGGGCAAACAUUGAAAUAUCAAACCCUAUACUAUAUGUAUGCAAUAUAUAUGCAAUGGAAUAAAGAUGUACUCUAAAGCUCUUGGAAAAAGGACUAUUACAUGUAUACAGAGUAUGUUCUAUCGUAUCGGACAGAACUCGAGCAAUACAGACUCUGGAACCAGUGGCUCACACUACAACCAGUAUAUUAUUGUUCUCUCCUACUCCUCCUGCAAUUUGUUUCAACCCAUGGCUCUGCAGAGCAUCUUCAUUAUUUCAAAACACAACCUAGACCCCAUGUCCAUCACAAGUAAAAUCAAACUAUGCUACAGCAGUGCUUUUAGGAUAGACAACUCGAAAAAGUGUCUAACUGGACAUGUAUAAUUAUAGUUAUGUAUUAAAAUAUGCUGUAUAUAUGGACGGACGUAUAUAUAGCCAUGCACUGGUUAUAGAGUCCGUAUUGCUCCAGCUUAUACCCGAUAAUUAUUGUAGGACACACAAUCACUAUAGGGAUAGCAUAUAAAUCACAAUGCACUUAAUUAGUCAUGCAUCUAAAAGGUUGUUUUGUGUCUGUCAGUGAGUGUCUGUAAGUGAGUGGUUUGUCUAAGUAAAGGCAGUGCAAUUAACCAAAAGCUCCCAGCCAAUUAAUGUAUACCCACACAUGAAUGCUUGGUCUAUGAAUGUUUUAUUGUGAUACACACCUAACAAAUGAAUGCUUGGUCAGUCACUACUGUCUACAAUGCAGCCACCAGCUUUAAAAUUAAUUUCAAGGUUUGACAAUCUGUUCAACGUACUGGAAAGCAGCCAAUUUGUCCUUGUUAUAAGAAGUUCUGUAUAUACAUACAUGCAUGGUCUUUGUGGACGGAAUCGACUCAGUAACUUUGCUAACGAGAAAAGGAUGUUGUCUUUCGACAUUCUUGACAUGGGAAUACACAUUUGGUUUAGGAGAUCCGCGCCUUAUCCAAUAGAUAGGUUGAUAUUAACGUAUUAUUCUCAUAAUUACUAUGCAAACGGGACUAACACCUUGUUCCAAUUUGCAGGUCAGCCAAGUAGAGAACCAUCAUAUCGUUACCAGACAUCGCGGAGGGACCAACUGAUGCAUGUUGAUUAUUGUGGAUUGCUGACAGUACAUGAAUCAAUAACGUUGAUGCUAUUAUAUCCACCAAUGUGACAUAAUAGAAGGACCUGCAGGAAAAAAGCAAUAAUUAACUUGAGCACUAAGCCUGCAUGAGAAAACAGUAUGUAGAUACACAAUAAUGCGGUGUGUUGUAUCAGCUCUUUGCUACUGAACUACAGAGGUUUUCAAAACACUGCAUACACCAAUGCAUACAGAGC